rnacentral:tRNA from 1 species
GCCCGGGUGGCGGAACCCGGUAUACGCAGAGGACUUAAAAUCCUCGGUCCGAAAGGACUUGUGAGUUCAAAUCUCACCCCGGGCA